rnacentral:lncRNA from 1 species
CUCUUGAUGAUUCUGAUGUUGGCUUUGUCAAAUAAUGUCUUGAAUUUGUUGUUCCUGCAUAAACAAGCUAAGAGUACAAGUGGAACUAGUUAUGGAUAAAAUAUGUUCAUGUCAUGUCGUUUCCCCUUGCAACCGAGGCAUGUUGACGGUGUUUUGUAUGUGGAUUUCUAUGGUAUAUCCACCGUCAACAAGAUCCCCCAAGCUUAACCUUUGCUCGUCCCGAGCAAACAAUCAAACUUAGCCUUGGUGGAUCAGGUAUUGUUACUAUGUUCACAUUUCAAGAGUACCAUGUGUACAACAAAGUUCUUCUCUUUGCAUGAAAAAUUUAGCUAUGUAAACUUACCCCUAUUAUCUUAGUCCCUUAUGGGGCUUAUGGCUUUUCCUUUGUCUUAGGUGGUUGAGAGACAGAACAGUUUGACUUGAGCACUAACUUUCUCAUUCUUAGCAAGUUUCAUAUCAGAGGUUUUGUGAUAUUUUCAAAAGAAAGCUUAAAUGUUCCUCUUAUGGUUCUCUCAUGUCACUCAAAUGGUGUAUGAUUCCUCACCAAGGCAUAUGGUAAGAGUUGCCUUCUCUAUUUCAUCCUAUUUCUAAAAGGCUUAUGUGGAGUUCAAGGUAGGGAUGAAAGGAGAUAGCAUACUUACUUUGCAUGUAUUGCGAAGUCAAAGCUCGGAUCCUUGAAGAGAAGUGUCAUACUGCCAGAUCAAGAUGUGCAAGUGUGAUAUAUGGUGGACUAGGUUGCUCCUUUAUUUGAUAGACUCUCUAUGUAUUGAGACAUGGCUAGCAUUUUUUUUCUUCUCUUUUUUUUUAUAUAUAUGAGCUUUCAUGUGCUCAAUUUUCUUUUUCUGUGGACUUGCACAUGUCCAUCUUUUUAUUUCAUUUUGCCUAGCCUUUUGAUGUCUCAUUUACCAAAUAAUGCUUAGAGAGAUGUUCUAACAUUUAGAGUAUGGAGCAACCUAUUUAGUGGAUGCGAAAUACAUGUGGUUGCGUACUUCCAGUGUAGAAGCAGCAUAUAUAUAUGUGGUGUGUACGUGAUCUUGAUCUUAGGAGCAUGAAAAGUCUCUUAACAAGGGUCAACAAGACUUGACGACACUCAACACAAAGCAAAUAGCUUAUGUGGAAAGGUUGCAAUUAUGUAAAGUAGAUAUGGCUGUGGUAGGAAUUCAUCACCAUUGAGGAACAAUUAAGGUUUUAAUCAUUUUAAGAAUAAAUCUCUGAUAAUCAUGCAUGCUUAGAAAAACAUUAUAGUAGCUCUUGUCUUACUAUCUCAUGUCCCACAACAACUUAGACUUAGUUCUAGCACUUGCAACCCACAAAGUUUUUAGGUUCAUGGCAGUUUAAGUGAGCUAAGUGAUCCAUACUUAGAGAAAUACUAAGUUGUAUACUAGGCACUAGAGAAACAUUAACAAGCAACUAGUCAUAAUUUCCAUGAGGGAUAUAAACAUACAUGAAGCAUAUAUGCUAAAGGGAAAUGCUAAUAAAUAUUUAUUUUUUUUUAAGUAAGAAUGAUAAAAUGCAUGAAAAUAAAUAGGAUAGAAUACUUACCUUAGUGGGGGAGAGGAUCUCCCCCAAGCUAGAUCUUCGCUCACUAUGGUGGCGGGAAAUUUUGGU